UGCGAGGUUUGCAGCGAGGAGA
rnacentral:piRNA from 1 species